rnacentral:rRNA from 1 species
UACGAGGGGGGCAAGCGUUGUUCGGAAUUAUUGGGCGUAAAGGGCGCGUAGGCGGUGCGGUAAGUCACCUGUGAAACCUCUAGGCUCAACCUAGAGCCUGCAGGCGAAACUGCCGUGCUUGAGGGUGGGAGAGGUGCGUGGAAUUCCCGGUGUAGCGGUGAAAUGCGUAGAUAUUGGGAGGAACACCAGAUGCGAAGGCGGGUCACUGGGCUGAUACUGACGCUGAAGUGCGAAAGCCAGGGGAGCGAACGGG